rnacentral:rRNA from 1 species
CCUACGGACGGCAGCAGUGGGGAAUAUUGGACAAUGGGGGCAACCCUGAUCCAGCCAUGCCGCGUGUGUGAAGAAGGCCCUCGGGUUGUAAAGCACUUUCAGUGAGGAAGAACGCCUGGUGGUUAAUACCCAUCAGGAAAGACAUCACUCACAGAAGAAGCACCGGCUAACUCCGUGCCAGCAGCCGCGGUAAUACGGAGGGUGCGAGCGUUAAUCGGAAUUACUGGGCGUAAAGCGCGCGUAGGUGGCUUGAUAAGCCGGUUGUGAAAGCCCCGGGCUCAACCUGGGAACGGCAUCCGGAACUGUCAAGCUAGAGUGCAGGAGAGGAAGGUAGAAUUCCCGGUGUAGCGGUGAAAUGCGUAGAGAUCGGGAGGAAUACCAGUGGCGAAGGCGGCCUUCUGGACUGACACUGACACUGAGGUGCGAAAGCGUGGGUAGCAAACAGGAUUAGAUACCCUGGUAGUC